GGGUGAGUAAUGCCUAGGAAUCUGCCUGGUAGUGGGGGACAACGUUUCGAAAGGAACGCUAAUACCGCAUACGUCCUACGGGAGAAAGCAGGGGACCUUCGGGCCUUGCGCUAUCAGAUGAGCCUAGGUCGGAUUAGCUAGUUGGUGAGGUAAUGGCUCACCAAGGCGACGAUCCGUAACUGGUCUGAGAGGAUGAUCAGUCACACUGGAACUGAGGCACGGUCCAG
rnacentral:rRNA from 1 species